rnacentral:rRNA from 1 species
AGAGUUUGAUCCUGGCUCAGGACGAACGCUGGCGGCGUGCUUAACACAUGCAAGUCGAACGGUGAUGCGCAGCUUGCUGCGCGGAUCAGUGGCGAACGGGUGAGUAACACGUGAGUAACCUGCCCUUGACUCUGGGAUAAGCGUUGGAAACGACGUCUAAUACCGGAUAUGACUGUGGAAGGCAUCUUCUGUGGUGGAAAGAUUUUUCGGUUGGGGAUGGACUCGCGGCCUAUCAGCUUGUUGGUGAGGUAAUGGCUCACCAAGGCGACGACGGGUAGCCGGCCUGAGAGGGUGACCGGCCACACUGGGACUGAGACACGGCCCAGACUCCCACGGGAGGCAGCAGUGGGGAAUAUUGCACAAUGGGCGCAAGCCUGAUGCAGCAACGCCGCGUGAGGGAUGACGGCCUUCGGGUUGUAAACCUCUUUUGGCAGGGAAGAAGCGAAAGUGACGGUACCUGCAGAAAAAGCACCGGCUAACUACGUGCCAGCAGCCGCGGUAAUACGUAGGGUGCAAGCGUUGUCCGGAAUUAUUGGGCGUAAAGAGCUCGUAGGCGGUUUGUCGCGUCUGCUGUGAAAACGCGAGGCUCAACCUCGCGCCUGCAGUGGGUACGGGCAGACUAGAGUGUGGUAGGGGAGAUUGGAAUUCCUGGUGUAGCGGUGGAAUGCGCGAUAUCAGGAGGAACACCGAUGGCGAAGGCAGAUCUCUGGGCCAUUACUGACGCUGAGGAGCGAAAGCGUGGGGAGCGAACAGGAUUAGAUACCCUCGUAGUCC